UACGUAGGUGGCAAGCGUUGUCCGGAUUUACUGGGCGUAAAGAGCGCGCAGGCGGUCGUUCAAGUCGCGUGUGAAAGCCCCCGGCUCAACUGGGGAGGGUCACGCGAUACUGAUCGACUCGAAGGCAGGAGAGGGAAGUGGAAUUCCCGGUGUAGCGGUGAAAUGCGCAGAUAUCGGGAAGAACACCCGUGGCGAAGGCGGUUCUCUGGAACGUCCCUGACGCUGAGGCGCGAAAGCGUGGGGAGCAAACAGG
rnacentral:rRNA from 1 species